CCGAAUUGAUUCUGUGAUUACGGGGCAACCUUUAAUUCCAAAAUAAAAACCAGGAGUAAUGUCUCCUGGUCCUGGUUUGGGCCAGGACAGGCUUAAUUUUUUGCAGUAGCCUGGAGGGGGCAUGGUCAGGACAUGGAGGUUAUUCUGUACCUCCUUACAGGUUAUUCUGUACCACCUCGUGGCAUUGCUGGGGGCAGGGAAAAGGGACUCUCCGUUUCAGGAAAAGGCGCUCGUUGCAAGGGAAAGGCAAUCUCACUUUCAUGAAAUGAGAAUUUUUUUUUCUUAUGAAUAGUUUCUUUUCAUAUACUCUCUGUCAUUACUAUUGUUGCUAUUCCUGUUAGUUUUCUUAUCUUGUUGCUGUUUCCAGUAAAUUGUUCUUAUCUCAACCCAUGAUCUUUGCAUUUUGUACCUCUAAUUCUCAAUUCCAUCCCACCAAAGCAGGAAGGGGAAGAGAGAGAAAGAGCACAGAGUGCAGUUUUUGGAGAGCCUCAGUGGGGGCACUGAAUUGGAGAGUACCAUUUCUAAACCACAACACCUGAGGAGAGCCUGAAGCUUUGAGAUGGCACAUUGGGAAGCCUAAGCCAACUGUUCCUGCUGCAUGCAUGCCUGAAUUGAUUACAUUGUUCUGUGGAGCUCAGAGACUCUCCCUCCUGUUGGUCUGGCCCUGUGUGAAACAGGAAUUCACAGUACUAGAAUGAGUCAGAAGUGAAAGCCAGAGCCGCUCCCCCGAGCUUGGACAUCAAUUUGGAAACACCUAGAUCCCACUCUCAGUCCAAAUGGUUUGUGAGGGCAAGUGUUCCAGCUAAGAUCUUGCAGUUGGACACUUUGCCUUUGCUUGCAUCACUGGCAGCUCUCAUGUCAGGCUCAGAUCUUCAGGGCUAUUUUCAUGAGAUGAAAGAAAUCUUAAUUAAGUGUUCAUAUCUUUGUCAGCCAGACUCAGAAUAAAAAUUGAUGCGAUUCCCUUGA